rnacentral:rRNA from 1 species
UCCUUCCAGCAGCUUCGGUAAUUCCAGCUCUAGUAGCGUAUAUUAAUACUGUUGUAGUUAAAACGCUCGUAGUUGACCUAAGGACUAUAGGUUUUGAUUCGGUGUUAGUCCGUUCUUAUGACCCUCCCAGCAGAAGGGGGUUGCAUGGAAUGAGGUUGAUAUCCGCGGCAUGUGUCCCCAUAGACCUUGUCCGUGGGUGUUCAUGUGUGGGUUUUUACCUGUAGUCCGAUCCUUGCCAAUGGCCCACCAUUGGUAAAGGCAUGGUGGUACAACUGUAAACAAAUCAGAGUGCUCAAAGCAGGCAUUGUUAAUGGGGAUUUAUCCUCAGUUUAGCAGAAUGACUUUGCAUGGGCUUGUCCAGGAACCAACAAUAAUGCCCUUCAGCAAAUGAGGAACGUUGUUCACUGGCGCGUGUAAAGUGAAGCAGGGAGAGGGCUCCAGUAGUAUGGUGCUAGAGGAGAAGAAUUUAUACCAGCAUAUGAGAUGAGAUGC